rnacentral:rRNA from 1 species
UACGAAGGGGGCUAGCGUUGCUCGGAAUCACUGGGCGUAAAGGGUGCGUAGGCGGGUCUUUAAGUCAGGGGUGAAAUCCUGGAGCUCAACUCCAGAACUGCCUUUGAUACUGAAGAUCUUGAGUUCGGGAGAGGUGAGUGGAACUGCGAGUGUAGAGGUGAAAUUCGUAGAUAUUCGCAAGAACACCAGUGGCGAAGGCGGCUCACUGGCCCGAUACUGACGCU